rnacentral:rRNA from 1 species
GAUGAACGCUGGCGGCGUGCCUAAUACAUGCAAGUCGAGCGAACGGACGAGAAGCUUGCUUCUCUGAUGUUAGCGGCGGACGGGUGAGUAACACGUGGAUAACCUACCUAUAAGACUGGGAUAACUUCGGGAAACCGGAGCUAAUACCGGAUAAUAUUUUGAACCGCAUGGUUCAAAAGUGAAAGACGGUCUUGCUGUCACUUAUAGAUGGAUCCGCGCUUCAUUAGCUAUUUGGUAAGGUAACGGCUUACCAAGGCAACGAUGCAUAGCCGACCUGAGAGGGUGAUCGGCCCCACUGGGACUGAGGCCCGGUCCAGACUCCUACGGGAGGCAGCAGUAGGGAAUCUUCCGCAAUAGGGGAAAGCCUGACGGGACAACGGCGCGUGAGUGAUGAAGGUUUUCGGAUCGUAAAACUCUGUUAUUAGGGAAGAACAUAUGUGUAAGUAACUGUGCACAUCUUGACGGUACCUAAUCAGAAAGCCACGGCUAACUACGUG